AAGUAAAUUUUGAAAUAAUUUAUAUAAAUAACUUUAUGUAUAUAAUAUGCACAGAAAACCAUGUUUGAGAUUAUUUACGUUUUUAUGAUUAAGUAAGAUUAUAUGCUGUUGUAUUAUUUCUAACACUUUUAUUAGUUUUUGUCGCCUCUGCUGUAUUUUGUAUUAUAAUUAUCGAAUUAAUUCCGGUUAUUCUUGAUGCUGUGACACCGAUGAAUGAAUCUCGGCCACGUAAAAUAAAAAUAAAUUUUGAAUUUUUUAUUGACGAGCAACAAUAUUUUUAUAUUUAUUUAAUACAUGAAAUUAUAUUAGUAAUAAUUGGAAUGUUUACAAUAAUUGGAACGGGAACAUUAUCAAUGGCGUUUUUGAAGCAUUGUUGCGCAACUUGUAAAAUUGCUAGUAAUUUAAUCGAAAAUACAGUGACUAAACAUACACUUUCAAUUCCUACAUGUCAGAAAACACAUGUGAUGUAUCAGAAGAUUAAUCGUGCUGUUCAUAUUCAUAGAAAAUCUCUUCAGUUUUCUACAUUUCUUAUGAACAUUAUGAACAAAUGGUUUUUUUUUAUGGUGAUGAUUAGCGUAAUGUCUUUAAGUUGCAAUCUUUUUCGCCUACUUAACGCAUUAACAGCUUUGAAUAAAUUUUCUGAAAUAAUAAUGUCUAUUGGUCUGGUAGUGGCUAACUUUAUAUACAUAUUUGUACCUAAUUUUGUUGGACAAUCAUUUACCGAUCACAGCGCAAAGAUAUUUAAUGCCGCGUAUAAUACAAUGUGGUAUUUAGCUCCAUUAUCAAUACAAAAGUUGCUUCUAUUUGUGAUGCAAAAUUCUUUGAAAGCACAUAACCUAACAAUUGGUGGUGUUUAUAUAUCAUCAUUAGAAGGAUUUUCUACGCUUACGACUACAGCAAUAUCGUAUUUUACUGUAAUAUAUACUGUGACGAUGAAGUAACACACAAGAACUUUUAAUUGGCUAGAAAUUUGAAUAUAGUGAUACUUGCACAUAUUAAUUGCAAAAAAUAAUUAAAGAUUAAUUUUGCACUCGACAUAUAAUACAUGCAAAUGGGAAUUAUAUAUAACUAAUUUAACAAUUGAUGUAAUUUAUUUAAGAGAAAAUUAACACAAAAU